CACGUAGGGCGCAAGCGUUGUCCGGAAUUAUUGGGCGUAAAGAGCUCGUAGGCGGUCUGUUGCGUCUGCUGUGAAAACUCGGGGCUUAACCCCGAGCCUGCAGUGGAUACGGGCAGACUAGAGGUAGGUAGGGGAGAAUGGAAUUCCUGGUGUAGCGGUGAAAUGCGCAGAUAUCAGGAAGAACACCAAUGGCGAAGGCAGCUCUCUGGGACGGUACUGACGCUGAGACGCGAAAGCGUGGGGAGCGAACAGG
rnacentral:rRNA from 1 species